AGGUGAGAGGGCGAUCUGGCUGCUACAUCUGUCACCCCAUUGAUCACAGGGGUUGAUUUGGCUGAUCUGACUUGCUAGGCGAGUGUCCCCUUCCUCCCUCACUGCUCCUGAAGUGCGUCUCUCCUGAAGCUGCACAUUUGGUCAAAGAGGAUGACCUUCCCAGAACAGAGAAGGACUAGUCUUCAGUCAAGGGUAUAGGAGUAAGUGUGCUCCUCUUGUUAGUACCUCCAAACAAGCUCUCAAAGAAAGAGUUUAUAAAUGAAAAUAAAAUAUUCUAAGGCUUAAAGAGGAGGCCUAGUUG
rnacentral:snRNA from 1 species